CGACACUCCUACGGGAGGCAGCAGUGGGGAAUAUUGGACAAUGGGCGCAAGCCUGAUCCAGCCAUGCCGCGUGAGUGAUGAAGGCCCUAGGGUUGUAAAGCUCUUUCACCGGUGAAGAUAAUGACGGUAACCGGAGAAGAAGCCCCGGCUAACUUCGUGCCAGCAGCCGCGGUAAUACGAAGGGGGCUAGCGUUGUUCGGAUUUACUGGGCGUAAAGCGCACGUAGGCGGACUAUUAAGUCAGGGGUGAAAUCCCGGGGCUCAACCCCGGAACUGCCUUUGAUACUGGUAGUCUUGAGUUCGAGAGAGGUGAGUGGAAUUCCGAGUGUAGAGGUGAAAUUCGUAGAUAUUCGGAGGAACACCAGUGGCGAAGGCGGCUCACUGGCUCGAUACUGACGCUGAGGUGCGAAAGCGUGGGGAGCAAACAGGAUUAGAAACCCUGGUAGUCCCAUG
rnacentral:rRNA from 1 species